CUGUAAUUCGAUUCUUGAUGUAACAUUUUAGGGCUGACCAAUUUCGUUUUUUAAUUUCAAUUUCAAGGCACUUAUCAGUCAGUUUUUGCAGAAACACGACAUUAAGUGAUGAAGCACAUCAUGUGCUUCUCUACAGCGACGAUCUCCUCAGUCUCCCACAUCCUUCUCUGGAAUGGUUGGCGACCUGCACGACAAUUAGCGUAAUUAUUCGAUGACAAAUGAUGUUGAAGUCCCAGAGACAGCCAUUUGUCCCCCUGCCUACAAGAUGAGGCUACAAGUCCCAGAGACACUGUCUGGGGUUGCGUGGGAGAUGAGGCUGCAUGUCCCGGAGACAGCCAUUUGUCCUCCUGCCUACAAGAUGCAUAUUCUAAUGAAGAGGGCAUCAUGGGACAGGCCCAGCAUACAUUGAACUUUGUCAAUCCAUAAAACAGAACUUCACACAAGACAACAGGACACAAGGCGUAAUGGAGAAAAAUCAGUGGGACCUGAAAAAUAUUCGGUUGCAGAGGACACUGACAAGGCUGGACGACUUUGUUCGGAUUUAUGAGAAAAUGCUUAAUGCACUUCUUGAAUAUGGAGACACAGAAAGGACAAGAAAAGAAGUAAGAAUUUAGUUCAAUUCAAACCAAUAACAUCAUCACUUGAUUUAAUUUCAGAAACGUUGUACUAUAGUAUAAUGUUAUGUAUUAAAAUAUUCCUAUCUUUUCAAGUCCUUUUGAGUAGAAAUGGAAAUCAGAAGGGAGUCUACUCCCUUUCAAACAACUGAAAAGCAAGGUAUUUAUUAAAAGGCCCAAUGAGAUAAGAGAUAUUUUCAAUAUAUGUUGAGGUUGUCAUUGUUUUGUUUUUUAAAUGACACCCCUGGAAAAAUGAUAUUUGUGAUUGUUUUUCCAUCCAUUUUCUUUUCUUUUUUUCAAAAGUAUGAAAUGUUUCAAGAAAUAGCUGAG
ensembl:lncRNA